CGGUCCCACCCUUCCGGCCAGAUAGGAAGGCAUUCGGGGCCUUGUUCACCCUUGAGGGUACGCCCAGGUCUCUCCCUCAGCUCUGCCGGGAAGCAGGCAGAGGGACGGCAGGUCCAAGGAGGUGAAGAAGGACAAAGAAAACGCUAAACAUGUUCCGCUGAUGCAGAAUCAAUACGGAAGGAGGCACAGGUCUCCGACGGGAAGAGCAUCCUGCCUGCUUCCCGUCACCUUCUGCCUUCCCAGCUCCCUUCAUCAUGCUGUGAGGCUGUGUCGCCUUCUCCCUGAUCACAGCCUGGCUGGAAACGGGCCUGCGUCCUUAGCAUCCUCAACGCAAACGCAUCCCUUCUGUCCUGCGCCCCGGGCGCCCAGUCCCUGCUUCCAGCCUUCAGCCUUUCUCGCACACACGCGGUGCUUGGUGUUCUGGGGUGGGCGCCGGGGCAAAAAGCCUUCAACCGGCUCCUGCACUUCAACAAAAACCACCUUUAAGCUGGAAGAAUGUGUCAUCAACUGAUAAUUUACUAAAUGACAGCUCAUUUCCAUUCUGCGGAAGGGAAUUGCUUCAUAUUUCAUUCUCAACGCCUGCUCGUUCGGGCAGCCUUCACCGGGCAGGAAGGGCUCCCCCGGGAAUUGCUUGAAAGGUUAGCGCCCAGGGCGAGCGUGGGCCCUGCGGCUGCGCUGCGCGGCGCCGGUCGCUCCCCUCGUUAAUGUCUCAAUGCUGCCCCCUGCUGGACCACGGCGCCCCGGCAGCGCCCGCGACCUGAGACCCGCGCUUCCACCGCGCUCCUCUGUCACGGCCGGCACCUCUGCGGGAGAGGUGACCGCUCCGGGGCUUUUGGUUUUGUGCAAAAGCCGCACAACCGAAAUUCACCGCCUUUAAGGGCGCCCGGACCUCACCGGAUGGGUGCUCCGCUGCUCGUGCCGCGGCGCGGCCGCUUCUGCCCGUUGUCAGGCUGUCGGCGCCCGGAAUGAAGAGAAGCCAUUGUCGCCAAGGGCUUUUCUCCCCGAAAGGGAUUUGCGGAUGGAAUGAAGAUGUGUGUGACCGGGGAGAGGUUUCCUGCCCGGAAAAAGCGAGACAUCACCCGAAGCUCCUUCCCCCAUUCCUGCACUUCUGUACAGUGGUGAAGACGCCAUGCUCAUUUUAAGCCCACCCACAGCCCCACUGACAGCAUACAGGAGGGAAAGAGAUCCCAGGCCAGCCACCAAACCAAACCCAGGGACCCAGUGAUUGGUGCAGGAUACACAGAUGACCCCAGUGGGUCCCAUCAGAGUUCUCAUGCUACUAGUUGGACUCAGAAGGAAAGAGAGCCUUUCUCCUCUUUGGAUCAUGAAUGGUGGGAAUGUCAACCCAAGACUUUUCAGCAAUUUCGAGAAAGGCUGUAUGAAGCAGGAGGAAGAGAAUAAAUCCAGUAUGCAAAGAAAAGACACAGAAACAAGGCUGAGCUGAAAAAUGAGAGGAAAAGAGAAAAGAUGACAAUAUUGUUUGAUCCCUGGAUUUGGCCAUGCAAAUAAGUAAGCCUUUCCCUAGACUUCAAAUUAAAUGAGUAGGAGUUUCUGGUUCUUGCAAUACAAAGAACCCUGAUUAAUACAACUUAUUGGAUUAUUUAAAUAUAUAUAUUUUUUAAAGUAGGUUCCACACCCAACAUGGGGCUUGAACUCACAACCCUGAGAUCAAGAAUGGCAUACUCUACCGACUGAGCCAGCCAGGUGCCCCAGAUGAUUUUAACAUUUCUUUAAUACCAUCAGUUCCGCCGUAUACAAAACUGAGGCAUUUUACGACUCCACCUUUGUGAAACAAUAAUGUAAGUAAUAAUUCAAGUUGCAAAAAUAGCAAAGACAUUGACCACCUAUUACAUCCAAGGUAAUGCACGUGUGCACAAAAAGACAGAAAAAGGCAAACGUGCCAUAGGGCCAGCAAGCCCGGCAGGACAGACCUCCACAAAGUUCACAGCGGGCCCCUGAGGAUAGCUUCUAGAGCUUCCAUAUCAAGGUGAUUUCCAUUUCUUUGUAUGCUUAUCUUUCACCUCCAAAUCUUCCACAGUAAACUAUAUUACAUCUGGAAUCAGAAAAAAAAAAUGUCCUUGAAAAAGACUACUCCAUUUAUCAAACCAACGGGGCUAUUUCUCAUUAAUUGUUGUUUUAAUAUUAAUUAAGACCAUUUAUAUAAUGUUGUUGAAAAUCAAACUAAAAUAUAUUAUCUGUCAUAGUAUUUCA